AACUGCUUUUUUUUUUUUUUUCUCCGCCGGCCCACACUGAACCACCGGCCCACCGGGAAAUCUCCCGCUGGCCAGGUAACAUCUUAAAAAAUCCUUGUCUUAAGAAACGAAUUUAAAGAAUGGUAAAAAAAAGUGUGUCGCGUACAGCUGUUCUAAAACCAACAAAGACGGAGUAUCUCUGCAUCAGUUCCCUGAUCCUGAUAAGAAUAAUGGAUACGAUCUCGCUGAGUGGAACCGGCAAGUAAAGCGGACGAGGGCAGACUGGUGCUAGUUGAAGGCUAGUGCACAUAUUUAUGCUGUGUCCUUACGCUGACAUUUAUUGAGAAGAAGCCGACUCUGACUCGAAGAACUCUCAAUCCUGACACCAGAGCCUUCUAGAAGCUCUGCUUCAUCUUUUAACCACUGCACUCUGAUUGGUACCUUUCCUGAGAAUGGAAGCUUGAAAAUUGCAUUUUCACCAGAUCUUACGACGACAGCUUCUGAGAACUUACUCACAGCAUCUGCAUCAAUUUUUGGUGGAUCUAAAAAGAAUAGAGAGAAUGGAAAGAAGCCCACCUCUGUAAGACUGUAUGGAUGUUUAUGUGAUCUGAAUAAAAAGAUAAACAAAACAUGAA